rnacentral:rRNA from 1 species
GACGUAGGUCGCGAGCGUUAUUCGGAAUUACUAGGCGUAAAGCGAGUGUAGGCGGGUGCUUAAGUCCGCUGUGAAAUCUCCCGGCUCAACUGGGAGGGGUCAGUGGAUACUGGGCGUCUUGAGUGGGGUAGGGGCAGUGGAAUUCCCAGUGUAGAGGUGAAAUUCGUAGAUAUUGGGAGGAACACCAGUGGCGAAGGCGGCUAUCUGGACGAACACUGACGCUGAGACACGAAAGCGUGGGGAGCAAACAGGAUUAGAAACCCCGGUAGU